rnacentral:rRNA from 1 species
CAGUCGCCGCGGUAAUACGGAGGGAGCUAGCGUUGUUCGGAAUUACUGGGCGUAAAGCGCGCGUAGGCGGUUACUCAAGUCAGAGGUGAAAGCCCGGGGCUCAACCCCGGAACUGCCUUUGAAACUAGGUGACUAGAAUCUUGGAGAGGUCAGUGGAAUUCCGAGUGUAGAGGUGAAAUUCGUAGAUAUUCGGAAGAACACCAGUGGCGAAGGCGACUGACUGGACAAGUAUUGACGCUGAGGUGCGAAAGCGUGGGGAGCAAACAGGAUUAGAUACCCCUGUAGUCCCUGUCUCUUAUAA